rfam:Rattus norvegicus chromosome 8, whole genome shotgun sequence.
GGAUUUAGCUCAGCGGUAGAGCACUUGCCUAGCAAGCGCAAGGCCCUGGGUUCGGUCCCCAGAUCCG